AACAUACACGCACGCGUCACAAGAAAGGGAGAAAAAGAAAAGCAAAAAGAACACAUUGAAAUUUCUUUGUCCUUCUU
rnacentral:ribozyme from 1 species